GUGCUUGUAGCUCAGCUGGAUAGAGCAACGGACUUCUAAUCCGUUGGCCGGAGGUUCGAAUCCUCUCAAGCACGCCA
rnacentral:tRNA from 1 species